GACGAACGCUGGCGGCGUGCUUAACACAUGCAAGUCGAACGGUAAGGCCCUUCGGGGUACACGAGUGGCGAACGGGUGAGUAACACGUGGGUGAUCUGCCCUGCACUUCGGGAUAAGCCUGGGAAACUGGGUCUAAUACCGGAUAGGACUCCUGGCUUCAUGGUUGGAGGUGGAAAGCUUUUGCGGUGUGGGAUGGUCCCGCGGCCUAUCAGCUUGUUGGUGGGGUAAUGGCCUACCAAGGCGACGACGGGUAGCCGGCCUGAGAGGGUGACCGGCCACACUGGGACUGAGAUACGGCCCAGACUCCUACGGGAGGCAGCAGUGGGGAAUAUUGCACAAUGGGCGCAAGCCUGAUGCAGCGACGCCGCGUGGGGGAUGACGGCCUUCGGGUUGUAAACCUCUUUCAGUAGGGACGAAGCGCAAGUGACGGUACCUACAGAAGAAGGACCGGCCAACUACGUGCCAGCAGCCGCAGUAA
rnacentral:rRNA from 1 species